rnacentral:rRNA from 1 species
AUUGCCUCAGUAACGGCGAGUGAAGCGGCAACAGCUCAAAUUUGAAAUCUGCCGCAAGGCCGAGUUGUAAUUUGUAGAGGAUGCUUCUGGGCAGCGGCCGGUCUAAGUUCCUUGGAACAGGACGUCAUAGAGGGUGAGAAUCCCGUAUGCGACCGGUUGGCACCCGUCACGUAGCUCCUUCGACGAGUCGAGUUGUUUGGGAAUGCAGCUCUAAAUGGGUGGUAAAUUCCAUCUAAAGCUAAAUACCGGCCAGAGACCGAUAGCGCACAAGUAGAGUGAUCGAAAGAUGAAAAGCACUUUGGAAAGAGAGUUAAAAAGCACGUGAAAUUGUUGAAAGGGAAGCGCAUGCAACCAGACUUGUCGGCGGUGUUCCGCCGGUCUUCUGACCGGCCUACUCGCCGCCGACAGGCCAGCAUCGUGUGGGUGUGCCGGAUAAAGGCGUCGGGAAUGUGGCCCCUCGGGGUGUUAUAGCCCGGCGCAUAAUACGGUGCCGCCCGCGCGAGGUCCGCGCUUCGGCUAGGAUGCUGGCGUAAUGGUCGUAUGCGGCCCGUCUUGAAACACGGACCAAGGAGUCUAACAUCUGUGCGAGUGUUCGGGUGUCAAACCCCUACGCGGAAUGAAAGUGAACGGAGGUGGGAGCUUCGGCGCACCAUCGACCGAUCCUGAUGUCCUCGGAUGGAUUUGAGUAAGAGCAUAGCUGUUGGGACCCGAAAGAUGGUGAACUAUGCCUGAAUAGGGUGAAGCCAGAGGAAACUCUGGUGGAGGCUCGCAGCGGUUCUGACGUGCAAAUCGAUCGUCAAAUUUGGGUAUAGGGGCGAAAGACUAAUC